rnacentral:tRNA from 1 species
GGGUCGUUAGCUCAACUGGCAGAGCAACUGACUCUUAAUCAGUAGGUUCGGGGUUCGAUUCCCCGACGACCCACCA